rnacentral:rRNA from 1 species
GUCUUGAAACACGGACCAAGGAGUCUAACAUGUCUGCGAGUGUUUGGGUGUCAAACCCGAGCGCGCAAUGAAAGUGAAUGCAGGUGGGAGGCGCGAGCCGCACCAUCGACCGAUCUGGAUCUUUAGUGAUGGAUUUGAGUAAGAGCAUAUAUGUUGGGACCCGAAAGAUGGUGAACUAUGCCUGAAUAGGGCGAAGCCAGAGGAAACUCUGGUGGAGGCUCGUAGCGAUUCUGACGUGCAAAUCGAUCGUCAAAUUUGGGUAUAGGGGCGAAAGACUAAUCGAACC